CAGAGACGUGGGAAAGUACAAGAAUUUUGCUUAAAAGGAAUGGAGCAAAUGAGGAUUAUCAUAAUGGAAUCUUAGAAAACUACAGAAACACAAUAAGUUGUAACAUCGAAAUUACUGCUACUGGAAUUGCUGAAAAAGCGUGAGAAGAGUUGUCAAGAUUAUAGAUCAAAAAUGAAAAUAUUUAUUGCCGUGGUAUUGAUGUCGAUGUUAUAUUCUGGAGAGGUUUCAUCGUUGAAUGGAUGGAUGAAGAAUCUAGCUGGAGAUGGCUAGAUGAACAUUGUAAAAAACUUGGUGUGCUGGCAGUAACUGACAAUCCAA